rnacentral:rRNA from 1 species
CGUGUAGGCGGUCCGGUAAGUCCGCUGUGAAAGUCGAGGGCUCAACCCUCGAAUGCCGGUGGAUACUGUCGGGCUAGAGUACGGAAGAGGCGAGUGGAAUUCCUGGUGUAGCGGUGAAAUGCGCAGAUAUCAGGAGGAACACCAAUUGCGAAGGCAGCUCGCUGGGACGUUACUGACGCUGAGACGCGAAAGCGUGGGAGCAAACA